GCCUCAGCCGCCGCGGCUAGGAGACCAGGAACCCGCCCCGCCCCCUCACCUGGAGGCUGAGGCGCCGGACCGGGUGGCGGGAGGGGUCCAGCCAAGCGGUGCUCACAGCCCUGGAGCGUCGGCGGGGCUGCACAGCAGGGGCUGGAUUGUGAUAUCUUCACUGCUGUUGAAUAUCACCUGACACUGAGUAAUCUUGUUGAAGCAAAUUGAGUAAGGUACCACUUAAUGAACCUGCAUGCUAAUAGCUAUUGAGGACAUAAACGAGAAGGUUGUCUUUGGCUGAUUUUGAAGAUGGAGGCAGAAUCAGAGAUGUCUGAGUUUCAUUUGACACAUGGCAGAAAGAUUGCAGCUGGCCCUCAAGGCCUUUGGAAAUGACACAAGCUACUAUUAUAACUAGCAGUUAAAGGUGUGCACCUAAAAGGAUAGAAACAGGCCUACAAAGUUGGAGCUACCAGUGGAUGAAUUUAAUUCCCGCUCAUUCCAAAUCGGGGCUACGAAAGCUUCGGCCCAACUUGGGUGAGGGGCCACAGUGAUGCAGGCAAUUGGGUGAUGGCAUUCAAAUGCAUACAGGAUGUAGGGGAGACCCCAGCCCCCCUCAAUGAUGGCGAAGAAGGGCAGCACAGCCCCAGCAGCAGGAUGGCUGGGACCCAGCUGGGGAUUAUGUGGAAAUGAUGAUCUGCACUGUACAAUUUAUUGCUGGCUACUCCCAGAUAUUUUAAGUGAAUAAAUCUGUGGCCUAAUUAAACCACAUCCAUUACCUCCUGCCUUUCUGCUGGUGUGGCCAGAUGACAAAGCACAUGUCAACAGAGGUCAUUGUACCAUCAUCAAUGCAGAUGUUCAAGAUUAUAUAACAUAACAAGGGGAAUACUGGGAAAGGACUGUUAGAUGCAAGCGUUGGACAGAGACCCUUUAAUUCUGCAUUAAUGGUUCAAAAGAAGGGAGCAGGAAGAGGGGAAACUGGUACAGGGAAACCCCGCCAUAAUGCGCCCCGCAAUAAUGCAAAUUUGGA